rnacentral:rRNA from 1 species
UACGUAGGGUGCGAGCGUUAAUCGGAAUUACUGGGCGUAAAGCGUGCGCAGGCGGUUUUGUAAGCCAGAUGUGAAAUCCCCGGGCUUAACCUGGGAAUGGCAUUUGGGACUGCAAGGCUUGAGUGCGGCAGAGGAGACUGGAAUUCCUGGUGUAGCAGUGAAAUGCGUAGAUAUCAGGAGGAACACCGAUGGCGAAGGCAGGUCUCCGGGCUGACACUGACGCUCAUGCACGAAAGCGUGGGGAGCAAACAGG